rnacentral:rRNA from 1 species
GACGAACGCUGGCGGCGUGCUUAACACAUGCAAGUCGAACGGAAAGGCCCUGCUUUUGUGGGGUGCUCGAGUGGCGAACGUGUGAGUAACACGUGAGUAACCUGCCCUUGACUUUGGGAUAACUUCAGGAAACUGGGGCUAAUACCGGAUAGGAGCUCCUGCUGCAUGGUGGGGGUUGGAAAGUUUCGGCGGUUGGGGAUGGACGCGCGGCUUAUCAGCUUGUUGGUGGGGUAGUUGCCUACCAAGGCAUUGACGGGUAGCCGGCCUGAGAGGGUGACCGGCCACAUUGGGACUGAGGUACGGCCCAGACUCCAACGGGAGGCAGCAGUGGGGAAUAUUGCACAAUGGGCGGAAGCCUGAUGCAGCAACGCCGCGUGCGGGAUGACGGCCUUCGGGUUGUAAACCGCUUUCACCUGUGACGAAGCGUGAUUGACGGUAAUGGGUAAAGAAGCACCGGCUAACUACGUG